rnacentral:tRNA from 1 species
AAGGCUUUAGCUUAAUUAAAGUGUCUGUUUUGCAUACAGAAGAUGUGGGUUAAUGUCCCGCAAGUCUUA